rnacentral:lncRNA from 1 species
GGGGAGGCAAAAAGGGGAAGCCGGACCACGCAAAGCUCCCCAUCUGGUUACCGGCGCGCGUGCGCGGACGCCGUCGCCUCCACUCCGCUUCCCGCGCACGCGCGCCGCUCCCUGCCCCCCACCCCACCUCCCGUAACCGGCUCACGAGCUCACGUUCUAACCGCUCCCCGCGAUCGCCCCACCAUCUCAACGGCCUCGCGCCCCGGAGCCCUCGUAAGAGUGCGCCAGCUGCGCGCCCAGAGACCCCUCCUUCCCCGCACGCGCACGGGGUCUGGCGCUGAUGGGGGGCAGGGGGGGGGCGUCUCGCGCCUCCCGAGGGUUCCUUCCCGCCCCCUCCCGACUCCAGGUCGCGCCGCAGCCCGUCCCCGCCCCCACUCCAGCCUCGAGCUGACGGGGGUAGCAUCUCCACCCAGCGCUGGGCCAGCUGAACCGAGAGAUCCUUGCAGCAGGAGGGCAAGAAAAGGACUUCUGUUCUUCCAGAGUGUACUCUUCUUCAUUCAUCCAUGGAAGAACUAUUGGUUAUGCCAGAAUCAGAAGCCAAUUCAGGACAGAGGUGAGGAAAACUUGGCUGAACACGAGAGUUACCUCGAAGCGGGGUGGCCUUUAAGAGUGACGGUCCGUAUCCCUUCCUGCCUUGCCUCAGGAAGAAGCGGAACCAUCCUCGCCUGGAGAGGAGCCCAGAGCUCCCUUUGCUUUCUCAGUCCGUGGUUCUGGGGAAGUCUGGCAUAUCUCGUAGACCAAGAGGCCACGUUCCUUUCUAUAUACAGAAGGGCCUAUGAGGCAGGAAGAGUGACAAGUAAAAUGGAGAAGUAAUUUGUGUCACAGAUGGGGAGAAACAGGAAAAAGAGCCUUAGCCACUUGAUGGUGCUAUAACCCACAGAACCCACGGAUACGGCCUCUGGGAGCUGCCUUAGCCAGGCAGAGGAAGGUUGGAGAAGGGAGGAGUUCUCAUGACAGCCAGCUGUCACCACCAGUGAACAUACUACCAGGUGUCUUUCAAUAAAAAUAUCUUGAUGAAGGCUUGAAAGUGCUUA